UUAUGGUAUGGUUGCUCAUCUACGUCAUGGCCUGUUGAUUUCCCCUGAUCUCCCAUGUCUCUCUCACCGCUUGGUUCCUGGUGAUUAAAGGAUUGCAUCAACACAACAGCAUUGAUUCACGGAAAUUAACCAUGUGCGAUGGCUUUAGAUGAUCCAAUAGAGCAGUCGUGCAACUGUGGUGCCAAGGUGGAGUUGUUGAUUUUGACGAGGAUGAUGCCUGCUGCUUUAAUCAUCCCAUAUUUGUCUUUCUCCCCUUGCCCUCUCGGAUCAUCCCAAUAUGUUGACGGCAACCUCUUAAUGUUGCAGCUUCUGCUAUCAUUUCUUCUUUUAAAAUUUUGACCUUAACUUGGAUAGGAGUGGAUAGUUGGAGUCGCUUUAUCUCCUGUGCAAGAUAUCCAC